rnacentral:ncRNA from 1 species
AUUUGUUUAAUUAUGGCAGUAGUAAGUGUUAAAGUAUUCAAUCGCAUAAAGUAAGGUUAGUUAAAUAAGUUUUUAAUAUUUAUUCAUAAUUUAGCGAUUAGUUUUUUAUUUGAGCGUAAGCUCUGUAAGGGUUACUUUUAUGAGAGGGGAUAGGACGCAGUGCCAGCAUCCGCGGUUAUUCUGUUUUCUCUGCUUUCAUCUGAUAUUGUUUUGAAUGUUUAUACUUAAGAUUAGGUGAAAUUUUCUUAUUUUUUUUAUAAACUUCUGCGUAAAAAAAAAUAGCUGCUUAAUGAAAGGGAUUAGAAACCCCAUUAAUUGGUUAUGUACUAGUUUUUAGUUUUAUAACUAAAAUAAUUUGGCAGUGAGCUAUUCCUGUUAGGGGAAGGUGUAUAGUAAAGGACGAUCCGCCUAUUAAUUGACUUUAUCUAUGUUGGUGUAUAUCUGGUUUAAUAUAAUUGUUUAAUUAUUUGAAUUUGUGCAUUAAUAAUUAAGCCAAGUCUAUGUGCUGCAUGUUAAAGUUUUUAUGCGUUACUUUUAUAAGUAUAGCCGUGUAAUAGGCUAUUAAUAAGGACUUAAUAGUAAUGUUAAAUCAGUUUGUUAGCGUGAAAUAGGUUUAGCUUAGGUACACACCGCCCGUCACCCUCGAUUUUUAUUGAGGUAAGUCGUAACAAGGUAGCCUUAGAUGAAUCUAAGGCUAAUUGUUCUUAGAACUAUA